UGUUCGGUAUAGAUAACCGCUGAAAGCAUCUAAGCGGGAAACUGAUCCCAAGAUGAACUUCCCCGAGAGAAAUCUCACAGGGCACUUGAAGACUACAAGUUUGAUAGGAUGGAUGUGUAAGCGCUGCGAGGCGUUCAGCUAACCAUUACUAAUCGCCCUGACGGCUUGA
rnacentral:rRNA from 1 species